rfam:Acetothermia bacterium 64_32 S_OP1_64_33_4, whole genome shotgun sequence.
CCGUGCAGGGUGGGGGGCUAGCGGUCCCCUGUAUCCAAAACCCGCUAUAUGUGGAGCCCAUGGGCCUUCCGAGAGGGCAGGGGGGCGGAAACGGCCCGGGCAGGGAGGCGAUGACGGCCGAGCCCCCUGCGACGCAUACCGGUGAACCCCGCCAGGCCCGGGAGGGAGCAACGGUAAGCCGGUCCCUGCGGGUGAUAGGGGAUCCCUUGGCCCGAGCCGAAGGCCCGGGAGAAGCCCGCUGAACUGUCAGCGAAGAAGGCCCGCACGG